AAUAAAUCUUAUUUUUAGGCAUUUGAUAAAUAAAUGAAAUAAAAUAAUUACAUUGUGUUUUUUUUAAAAUUUGUUUACAUUUUAAGGUAAUUUAGAAGUUAUGAAAUGUAUACACUUUGUUUACUUACUGUUUGUUGCCAUUUAUGACAAAACACUGCACACUGAGGCUCUGAUAUAUUAUUAUAACAGGAAACGUUGCUAAGGUAUUUAACACUUUGCAUUCUGAAUUAGCAUUGUUACAUUUAUGACAGAUUACAAAAAAAAAACCCCAACAACUAAUUCUACUUGUUUUAGUUGCAAAAAAACCCUGUGUCAGUCACUUUUUUACACAUGUAGUGUACACUACAGAUAGAUGAUUAUAUUUUUUAUACAAUAUCAUAUUAAGGGGUUAGUUACAAAAAUGCCUGUUGUGGUGAAGGAGAAGAACUCUCAGCAUUAGAAAUUGAUGUUUAGUAAAUACACCCCAAAUUAAUAAUAAACAUCAGAGCAAGAUUCCAUUAAAUAUGAUCUACAGCCAAUUAAAAGGGGUUCACUUUAAAUCCUACUGCCCCUUUAAUAUUCUAUAUUUAGCACUAGUUUCAGGACACAAACUUGAUUUAUACACAGCAUUUCAUUACAUAGUUUCAUAAACCAAGUGGCUCUAGAUGGGUCACAGAGUAAAGUUAGAAAUGCUAAUGAAAGGAUAAACAAAGUCCUAGUUUUGUUUUGGUAAAACCCCCUUUUCCCAAACUCUUAGUGUUUGUGAUCAUGCCAGCACAGACUAAAUCAUUAAGACAUUUAUAAAUGAGAAAAUUAUUCAAGUAAAAGCUAAACAUAGAUCUAAACAAAACAGUUUUUUAAUUAAACUAAUUUUUCCAUGAGAAAUUUUUUUUUAUAUUUACCAAUGUUGAUUUGCUUGAGAAAAUGAC